AACGAACGCUGGCGGCAUGCCUAACACAUGCAAGUCGAACGAGACCUUCGGGUCUAGUGGCGUACGGGUGCGUAACGCGUGGGAACCUGCCCUUAGGUUCGGAAUAACUCCCCGAAAGGGGUGCUAAUACCGGAUAAUGUCUUCGGACCAAAGAUUUAUCGCCUUCGGAUGGGCCCGCGUUGGAUUAGCUAGUUGGUAGGGUAAAAGCCUACCAAGGCGACGAUCCAUAGCUGGUCUGAGAGGAUGAUCAGCCACACUGGGACUGAGACACGGCCCAGACUCCUACGGGAGGCAGCAGUGGGGAAUAUUGGACAAUGGGCGAAAGCCUGAUCCAGCAAUGCCGCGUGAGUGAUGAAGGCCUUAGGGUUGUAAAGCUCUUUUACCCGGGAUGAUAAUGACAGUACCGGGAGAAUAAGCUCCGGCUAACUCCGUG
rnacentral:rRNA from 1 species